UACAGAGACCUCAAGCGUUAUCCGGAUUUAUUGGGCGUAAAGCGCGUGUAGGCGGACUUAUUAGUCAGACGUCAAAUCUCUGAGCUCAACUCGGAAACUGCGUUUGAAACGGUAAGUCUCGAGGAAGCGAGAGACCAAUGGAACAUAUGGUGUAGCAGUGAAAUGCGUUGAUAUCAUAUGGAACACCAAAGGCGAAGGCAUUUGGUUGGCGCUUUCCUGACGCUGAGACGCGAAAGCGUGGGUAGCGAAU
rnacentral:rRNA from 1 species